GAUGAAGAACGCAGUGAAAUGCGAUAAGUAAUGUGAAUUGCAGAAUUCAGUGAAUCAUCGAAUCUUUGAACGCACAUUGCGCCCGUCAGUAUUCUGGCGGGCAUGCCUGUUCGAGCGUCAUUACGCCCCUCAAGUCCCCUGUGGACUUGGUGUUGGGGAUCGGCGAGGCUGGUUUUCCAGCACAGCCGUCCCUUAAUUUAAUUGGCGGUCUCGCCGUGGCCCUCCUCUGCGCAGUAGUAAAACACUCGCAACAGGAGCCCGGCGCGGUCCACUGCCGUAAAACCCCCCAACUUUUUAUAGUUGACCUCGAAUCAGGUAGGACUACCCGCUGAACUUAAGCAUAUCAAUAAGCGGAGGA
rnacentral:misc_RNA from 1 species